rnacentral:rRNA from 1 species
UACACGACCGUACCGCAAACCGACACUGGUGCGCGAGAUGAGUACUCUAAGGCGCUUGAGAGAACUCGGGAGAAGGAACUCGGCAAAUUGACACCGUAACUUCGGAAGAAGGUGUGCCUUUAGUAGGUGAAGGGAUUUACUCCUGGAGCCCAAUGAGGUUGCAAAAAAUCGGUGGCUGCGACUGUUUAUUAAAAACACAGCACUCUGCAAACACGAAAGUGGACGUAUAGGGUGUGACGCCUGCCCGGUGCUGGAAGAUUAAAUGAUGGGGUGCAAGCUCUUGAUUGAAGUCCCAGUAAACGGCGGCCGUAACAAUAACGGUCCUAAGGUAGCGAAAUUCCUUGUCGGGUAAGUUCCGACCUGCACGAAUGGCGUAACGAUGGCCACACUGUCUCCUCCCGAGACUCAGCGAAGUUGAAAUGUUUGUGAUGAUGCAAUCUCCCCGCGGAAAGACGGAAAGACCCCAUGAACCUUUACUGUAGCUUCGUAUUGGACUUUGAACAGAUCUGUGUAGGAUAGGUGGGAGGCUUUGAAGUAGGGUCGCUAGAUCUUAUGGAGCCAACGUUGAAAUACCACCCUGGUGUGUUUGAGGUUCUAACCUAGGUCCAUUAUCUGGAUCGGGGACAGUGCAUGGUAGGCAGUUUGACUGGGGCGGUCUCCUCCCAAAGCGUAACGGAGGAGUUCGAAGGUACGCUAGUUACGGUCGGACAUCGUGACGAUAGUGCAAUGGCAUAAGCGUGCUUAACUGCGAGACUGACAAGUCGAGCAGAUGCGAAAGCAGGACAUAGUGAUCCGGUGGUUCUGUAUGGAAGGGCCAUCGCUCAACGGAUAAAAGGUACUCUGGGGAUAACAGGCUGAUACCGCCCAAGAGUUCAUAUCGACGGCGGUGUUUGGCACCUCGAUGUCGGCUCAUCUCAUCCUGGGGCUGUAGCCGGUCCCAAGGGUAUGGCUGUUCGCCAUUUAAAGAGGUACGUGAGCUGGGUUUAAAACGUCGUGAGACAGUUUGGUCCCUAUCUUCCGUGGCCGCUGCAGAUUUGAGGAAGCCUGCUCCCAGUACGAGAGGACCGGAGUGGACACACCUCUGGUGUAUCGGUUGUCACGCCAGUGGCAUUGCCGAGUAGCUAAGUGUGGAAGAGAUAACCGCUGAAAGCAUCUAAGCGGGAAACUCGUUUCAAGAUGAGAUCUGCCGGGGCCUUGAGCCCCCUAAAGAGUCGUUCAAGACCAGGACGUUGAUAGGUCAGGUGUGGAAGCGCAGUAAUGCGUUAAGCUAACUGAUACUAAUUGCUCGUGCGGCUUGACC